rnacentral:rRNA from 1 species
GACGGGGGGUCCUAGCGUUGUUCGGAAUUACUGGGCGUAAAGCGCGUGUAGGCGGUUGUCCAAGUCGGGUGUGAAAGCCUUGAGCUCAACUCAAGAAGUGCACUCGAUACUGGGCGACUCGAGUGCCGGAGAGGAUAGUGGAAUUCCCAGUGUAGUGGUGAAAUACGUAGAGAUUGGGAAGAACACCAGUGGCGAAGGCGGCUAUCUGGACGGUUACUGACGCUAAGACGCGAAAGCGUGGGGAGCAAACAGG